UUACGGCUAUAUCUCGUUGAAUCGCCUGCUCUUGUACGAUCACCAAAGUUAAACAACGUUGAGUCUGAUCAGUACCUCGAUGGGUCACGGCUUGGGAAAACCAGGGGUUGUAA